rnacentral:rRNA from 1 species
AUUGAACGCUGGCGGCAGGCCUAACACAUGCAAGUCGAGCGGUUGAGGUAGCUUGCUACCGAUGCAGCGGCGAACGGGUGAGUAAUACAUGGGAAUCUGCCUGGUAGUGGGGGACAACGUUUCGAAAGGAACGCUAAUACCGCAUACGCCCUACGGGGGAAAGGGGGGGAUCGCAAGACCUCUCGCUAUCAGAUGAGCCCAUGUCAGAUUAGCUAGUUGGUGAGGUAAAGGCUCACCAAGGCGACGAUCUGUAACUGGUCUGAGAGGAUGAUCAGUCAAACUGGAACUGAGACACGGUCCAGACUCCUACGGGAGGCAGCAGUGGGGAAUAUUGGACAAUGGGGGCAACCCUGAUCCAGCCAUGCCGCGUGUGUGAGAAGGCCUUAGGGUUGUAAAGCACUUUCAGUGGGGAGAAAGGUGAUUCACCUAAUACGUGAGUCAAUUGAUGCUACCCACAGAAGAAGCACCGGCUAACUCCGUGCCAGCCGCCGCGGUAA